rnacentral:ncRNA from 1 species
GGGUUUGUUGUUGUUGUUGUACUCUAGUGAGAUAGAGUAGAGUGGAACUUCCUAUGUAGGGGUGAAAUCCGGAGAUCUAUGAAUGAACACCAAAAGCGAAGGCAUCUCUUUGGGUCCCUACCGAUGCUGAGAUGCGGAAACAUGGGGAACGAACAGGAUUAGAUACCCUGUCAGUACAUGCCGUAAACGUAUCACAUCUAGGGCUUGUCUUAGGUCUAUUUUCGCUGUUAUCCAGUGCUUCAGAUGAGC